rnacentral:rRNA from 1 species
GAUCUGGCUCAGGAUGAACGCUAGCUACAGGCUUAACACAUGCAAGUCGAGGGGAAACGACAUCGAAAGCUUGCUUUUGAUGGGCGUCGACCGGCGCACGGGUGAGUAACGCGUAUCCAACCUGCCCAUCACUUGGGAAUAACCUUGCGAAAGUAAGACUAAUGCCCAAUGAUAUCCCACGAAGGCACUCCGAAUGGGUAUUAAAGAUUUAUCGGUGAUGGAUGGGGAUGCGUCUGAUUAG